ACUCAAAGGAAUAGACGGGGACCCGCACAAGCAGCGGAGCAUGUGGUUUAAUUCGAAGCAACGCGAAAAACCUUACCAAGGCUUGACAUCCUGUGCCAUACCCCCAAAAGGGUAUUUCCUUCGGGACACAGAGACAGGUGUUGCAUGGUUGUCGUCAGCUCGUGUCGUGAGAUGUUGGGUUAAGUCCCGCAACGAGCGCAACCCUUAUCACUAGUUGCCAAUAUUUAGUUAGGAACUCUAGUGAGACUGCCGUAGACAAUACGGAGGAAGGUGGGGAUGAUGUCAAAUCAUCAUGGCCCUUACGCCUUGGGCUACACACGUGCUACAAUGGCUUUUACAAAGAGCAGCGAUACUGUAAAGUGGAGCGAAUCUCAAAAAGAAAGUCUCAGUUCGGAUUGAGGGCUGAAACCCGCCCUCAUGAAGUCGGAGUUGCUAGUAAUCCCGAAUCAGCAUGUCGGGGUGAAUGCGUUCCCGGGUCUUGUACACACCGCCCGU
rnacentral:rRNA from 1 species